rnacentral:rRNA from 1 species
CACGGGGGUUGCGAGCGUUGUCCGGAAUUACUAGGCGUAAAGGGCAGGCAGGCGGAUCCAUAAGUUUAUCGUUUAAGGCGUCGGCUUAACCGGCGUAGGGCGGUAGAUACUGUGGAUCUGGAAUGCGGUUGGGGAAGACAGAAUUCCUGGUGUAGCGGUGGAAUGCGCAGAGAUCAGGAGGAAUACCGAAGGCGAAGGCAGUCUUCCAAGCCGUUAUUGACGCUCAACUGCGAAGGUGUGGGUAUCAAACAGGAUUAGAUACCCCCGGUAGUCCCUGA